CGCUAUUAGGACAGCGUAUCCAUCGAUAAUUACUCAUCACAUAUAUCACAAUAUAUCACAAUAUAGCACAUAUAUCACAUAUAUCGCAAUACAACCAUAGACAUGUGGAUCGGAGCUGAGCAUGGAAGCUAACUCAUCUACGCAUCCGUGGGCUGUCCAAAGUAUGUGGACAAUCCGAAACAGAUACGGUCAAGGAGGAUAUGCACUGAUCAACAUACCACCAACCAUAUCUCUUUCGGACGGGAGACGCCUAACUGGGC
rnacentral:lncRNA from 1 species